rnacentral:tRNA from 1 species
GUGAGUAUAGCUCAGUGGUGGAGCACAUGCUUAGCAUACAUGAGGUCCUGGGUUCUGUUCCCAGUUUCUCCA